AACGAACGCUGGCGGCAUGCCUAACACAUGCAAGUCGAGCGCCCUUUCGGGGGAUCGGCGGACGGGUGGGUAGCGCGUGGGAAUAUUCCCUUCUCUACAGAAUAGCCUCGGGAAACUGAGAGUAAUACCGUAUACGCCCUCUGGGGGAAAGAUAUAUCGGGGAAGGAUUAGCCCGCUUUGGAUUUGGUAGUUGGUGGGGUAAUCUCCUACCAAGCCGACGAUCCAUAGCUGUUUUGAGAGGAUGAUCAGCCACACUGGGACUGAGACACGGCCCAGACUCCUACGGAAGGGAGCGGAGGAGAAUCGUAGGAAAGGGGGGCAAAUGUGGCAUAGCCGCGCGGGGUAAGUGAUGAUGGGCUUAGGAUAGUAAAGCUGUUUGAGAUGGGAAGAUAAUGACGGUAACAGAAGAAGAAGCCCCGGCUAACUCCGUG
rnacentral:rRNA from 1 species